UACAGAGGGUGCGAGCGUUAAUCGGAGUUACUGGGCGUAAAGGGCGCGUAGGCGGUUAUAUAAGUGAGAUGUGAAAUCCCUGGGCUUAACCUAGGAACUGCAUCUCAUACUGUAUGACUGGAGUAUUGUAGAGGGUAGUGGAAUUUCCGGUGUAGCGGUGAAAUGCGUAGAGAUCGGAAGGAACACCAGUGGCGAAAGCGGCGCACUGGACCACAACUGACGUGAGGCGCGAAAGCUAGGGGGAGCAAACAGG
rnacentral:rRNA from 1 species